UGAGUGUUGUUUUGUCACCUACAAACCGUCGUCUUGGCUAGCGGCAGACUUCGGUAAAAAUAAGAGCAGAGAGCUAAGGAACGAGGCUAGGCUGUGUGUGAGACACAGCCAAAACUGUAAGCUUCUAUCAGUAUACUAGUACUAGUCAAUAGGGUAUGAGAUAGCCACCCUUCCACCAGUAGUCUACUGUUGGCGAGUGUUGCUGUUGUUGUUGGAUGAGUGGACACAAAGGAGUGAUCAUCAAGCCAGUGUCGCUAUUACCCUACACAGGUAUCCUGAUGGUCUGGUGAUAGUGAUUUGGAAAAGAGACACACUGCGCAGAACGUCAGUAUCACGUGAGUUAGUAGUGCGUGCCUUGUACUGUGUUGAAGCCGCGUGUGUCGAGAACCAGGAUCUACGAAGAUCUACAAAGACCGAUCGAUAGGCGAUACUGUAAAUCUGCCGUGACAGCUUUUCUCAGCGAUAGCCGAUACCGGUGCCUGCCGUGAGAGCGUUUUCUUGAUCGACACCCAGCGGAGAUACUAGCCUUGGUCCAUGGCGUCGUUCUGCGUGACAUCUUCAAGCCACACUGACAGCAUUAGCAGCAGCAAUGCUUUCCAGCUGGAAGUAGAAGGCCACUCAAUACGGAUGACGUCACAAUACCCUGGGAAUGACUUCACCUUGCGCACCCCGUCUGCGAGAAGGAGCAGCAGAGAUGUUCGUUUCGGAGCAAACAUGCAGUCUAUCAAGAAAUCCCACGUAUUCUUCUUUUCAGCAGCCAUCCCUCAGGUCAUUCGCUCUUCAUCUUGUACCAGCAAUAGACUGUUGAUUUGUAAACGCAAAGUUCCUGUGGCUGUCUCCCCCAAACUUCCAGUGGUUGUCUCCCCCAAAGUUCCAAUGACUGGUUCUUCUAAACUUCCAUCUCAAACAAGUACAGAUUCCGGCGUACUUUCAGAUAUUGCAGAAGAAAGCUAGCUGCCCUGUCGGAAAUGA